CCACCACUAAGCCAGUGGUGAACUCCACAUACGCAUCCUUUGCUGAGGAUACGGUUAACGGAGCGAAAGCGACGUUCAACCGCAAAAGAAGCAGAGGGGGCUUAGUGGUGGGGUGACUGCGUACCUUUUGUAUAAUGGGUCAGCGACUUAUAUUCUGUAGCAAGGUUAACCGAAUAGGGGAGCCGGAGGGAAACCGAGUCUUAACCGGGCGUUAAGUUGCAGGGUAUAGACCCGAAACCCGGUGAUCUAGCCAUGGGCAGGUUGAAGGUUGGGUAACACUAACUGGAGGACCGAACCGACUAAUGUUGAAAAAUUAGCGGAUGACCUGUGGCUGGGGGUGAAAGGCCAAUCAAACCGGGAGAUAGCUGGUUCUCCCCGAAAGCUAUUUAGGUAGCGCCUCGUGAACUCAUCUCCGGGGGUAGAGCACUGUUUCGGCUAGGGGGCCAUCCCGGCUUACCAACCCGAUGCAAACUGCGAAUACCGGAGAAUGUUAUCACGGGAGACACACGGCGGGUGCUAACGUCCGUCGUGAAGAGGGAAACAACCCAGACCGCCAGCUAAGGUCCCAAAGUCAUGGUUAAGUGGGAAACGAUGUGGGAAGGCCCAGACAGCCAGGAUGUUGGCUUAGAAGCAGCCAUCAUUUAAAGAAAGCGUAAUAGCUCACUGGUCGAGUCGGCCUGCGCGGAAGAUGUAACGGGGCUAAACCAUGCACCGAAGCUGCGGCAGCGACACUCAGGUGUUGUUGGGUAGGGGAGCGUUCUGUAAGCCUGCGAAGGUGGCCUGUGAGGGUUGCUGGAGGUAUCAGAAGUGCGAAUGCUGACAUAAGUAACGAUAAAGCGGGUGAAAAGCCCGCUCGCCGGAAGACCAAGGGUUCCUGUCCAACGUUAAUCGGGGCAGGGUGAGUCGACCCCUAAGGCGAGGCCGAAAGGCGUAGUCGAUGGGAAACGGGUUAAUAUUCCCGUACUUGGUGUUACUGCGAAGGGGGGACGGAGAAGGCUAUGUUGGCCGGGCGACGGUUGUCCCGGUUUAAGCGUGUAGGUGUGUGUUCCAGGUAAAUCCGGUUCACUUUAACACUGAGGCGUGAUGACGAGGCACUACGGUGCUGAAGCAACAAAUGCCCUGCUUCCAGGAAAAGCCUCUAAGCAUCAGGUAACAUCAAAUCGUACCCCAAACCGACACAGGUGGUCAGGUAGAGAAUACCAAGGCGCUUGAGAGAACUCGGGUGAAGGAACUAGGCAAAAUGGUGCCGUAACUUCGGGAGAAGGCACGCUGACACGUAGGUGAAGUGAUUUACUCAUGGAGCUGAAGUCAGUCGAAGAUACCAGCUGGCUGCAACUGUUUAUUAAAAACACAGCACUGUGCAAACACGAAAGUGGACGUAUACGGUGUGACGCCUGCCCGGUGCCGGAAGGUUAAUUGAUGGGGUCAGCGCAAGCGAAGCUCCUGAUCGAAGCCCCGGUAAACGGCGGCCGUAACUAUAACGGUCCUAAGGUAGCGAAAUUCCUUGUCGGGUAAGUUCCGACCUGCACGAAUGGCGUAAUGAUGGCCAGGCUGUCUCCACCCGAGACUCAGUGAAAUUGAACUCGCUGUGAAGAUGCAGUGUACCCGCGGCAAGACGGAAAGACCCCGUGAACCUUUACUAUAGCUUGACACUGAACAUUGAGCCUUGAUGUGUAGGAUAGGUGGGAGGCUUUGAAGUGUGGACGCCAGUCUGCAUGGAGCCGGCCUUGAAAUACCACCCUUUAAUGUUUGAUGUUCUAACGUGGACCCGUGAUCCGGGUUGCGGACAGUGUCUGGUGGGUAGUUUGACUGGGGCGGUCUCCUCCUAAAGAGUAACGGAGGAGCACGAAGGUUGGCUAAUCCUGGUCGGACAUCAGGAGGUUAGUGCAAUGGCAUAAGCCAGCUUGACUGCGAGCGUGACGGCGCGAGCAGGUGCGAAAGCAGGUCAUAGUGAUCCGGUGGUUCUGAAUGGAAGGGCCAUCGCUCAACGGAUAAAAGGUACUCCGGGGAUAACAGGCUGAUACCGCCCAAGAGUUCAUAUCGACGGCGGUGUUUGGCACCUCGAUGUCGGCUCAUCACAUCCUGGGGCUGAAGUAGGUCCCAAGGGUAUGGCUGUUCGCCAUUUAAAGUGGUACGCGAGCUGGGUUUAGAACGUCGUGAGACAGUUCGGUCCCUAUCUGCCGUGGGCGCUGGAGAACUGAGGGGGGCUGCUCCUAGUACGAGAGGACCGGAGUGGACGCAUCACUGGUGUUCGGGUUGUCAUGCCAAUGGCACUGCCCGGUAGCUAAAUGCGGAAGAGAUAAGUGCUGAAAGCAUCUAAGCACGAAACUUGCCCCGAGAUGAGUUCUCCCUGAGACUUUAGGUCUCCUGAAGGAACGUUGAAGACGACGACGUUGAUAGGCCGGGUGUGUAAGCGCAGCGAUGCGUUGAGCUAACCGGUACUAAUGAACCGUGAGGCUUAACCUUACA
rnacentral:rRNA from 1 species